CACGUAGGGCGCAAGCGUUGUCCGGAAUUAUUGGGCGUAAAGAGCUCGUAGGCGGUCUGUUGCGUCCGCUGUGAAAACUCGGGGCUUAACCCCGAGCCUGCAGUGGAUACGGGCAGACUAGAGGUAGGUAGGGGAGAAUGGAAUUCCCGGUGUAGCGGUGAAAUGCGCAGAUAUCGGGAGGAACACCGGUGGCGAAGGCAGCUCGCUGGGACGUUACUGACGCUGAGACGCGAAAGCGUGGGGAGCAAACAGG
rnacentral:rRNA from 1 species